rnacentral:rRNA from 1 species
AUGCAUCCUCACGCCCCGAGCAUCCGCGUCAAGAUCCCCGACCAGCUGCCCACGCUGUUCGAGCCGCAGAAGGCCACGCCGAACCCGCGCACCACCCGCUCCGGCAGCACCGCCGAGGCCGAGGCUGCCGGCGACGCGCCGCCGCCGUGGCCGGAGCACCGCCUCACCGUGCUGGCCCUGCAGCUGGCCGUGCUCGAGAAGGCGGCCAGCCGGCUGGGCACGCUGGCCUUCAUCUGGGCCACGGUCGUGCUGCUGGGCGGCUUCGCCAUCACGCUGGACCGCAGCGACUUCUGGUGCAUCACGGGCCUGCUCGUCAUCGAGGGCAUCCGCAUCCUGGGCCGCAACCAUGAGGUGGAGUGGCAGCGCCACCAGGCCAGCCAGGCCCGCCCCGCCACCCGCGCCGCCGUCCCCGCCUUCUUCUGGAUGCAGCUGCUCUCGGCGUCCGCGUGCGUCUUGCUCUCCCUCGUCCGCCUCAUCCACCAGCACUACGGCGGCACCGAGGACGCCCGCUCCAACCGUGCCGCAGCGCUCAACAUCUUCUACGGCCUCGCGCUCACCGAGGCGCUGCUCUUCCUUGUCGAGAAGGCGCUAUGGGAGUGGAAGGUGGGCCACCGCCGCCUCCUCGAGUGCGUCGCCGACGACUGCAAUCUCGCCGGUGCCUACGGCCAGGUCGCCGUACGCCGCUUCUUCUACGACUCCUACUCGCGCUGCCUCAACGGCAGCAUCUUGGACGGCCUCCACAUGGGCCUCGUCUCCUACGCUGAUGAUCUCAUCACCGCGGGCUCGCGCGACGAGCAGAGCCUCGGCGCCGGCAUCCUCGUCGCGCUCGUCGAGUCCGACCGCUUCGCCGAAGCCACGCUCCGCAGGAUCAGCGUCUCCGCGCCCACCAUCCAGCGCCUCAUCGAGAUGCUCAGCUGGAAGGACUCCUCGGAGCGCGAUGUCCGGCGCUCGGCCGCCGCCGUCGUGUCCAUGCUCACCGGGAGGAAGCUCGUCGCGCUCCGCGUCCUCGGCAUUCCAGGUGCCAUCGAGUCCGUCGCCUCGCUGCUUUAUGCCGACCUCGACGAGCUCAACAUCCUCGGCCUCUCCACCCUCAAUAAGCUGGCGCAAGACCACGACAAUUGCGACAAGAUUGGCAAGACCAGGGGCCUCCUCGAAACCAUCAUCUCCUACUCCAGCAUCGACCAUGCGCUGGCGUCGCCCUCGCAGAGGGACAUGAGGCUCAAGGCUGUCAAGAAGUCGCUCCGCGUUGUCAAGAGGCUGGCCGGCACGAGGGGGGACACCGGGAAGCUGCUCCGACGGGAGCUCACCGACAUCGUCUUCACCGUGAGCAACGUCAGGGAGAUCCUGCAGCGGCACGACAAUAAGUUCCAGUCGGAGCUGCACCAGUUAGCCAUCGAGAUACUCACGAGCCUCGCGAUGGACGAGGACGCCAGGGAGAUCAUCGGCGGGACGGGGGACGUGGUGAGCGUGCUGGUCACCACGUUCUUGCCGGCGGCGUUUACGACGAAGGAGUGUCAACGGGCGGACGUUGUCCGGGUGGAGGCCGGCGAGGCGCUCGCGAUGCUGGCCCUCGAGAACAAGAAGAACUGUGGAGCGAUCAUAAUGGCUCUUGGCGGAGGGAUCGGGCGGCUCGUUGAUGCGCUGAACGACCCCGUCGUCGUCGUCGGUGCCGCGAGGAUCAUGCACAACCUCUGCUCCUACUCCGGCGACGAGUGGCAGCUCCCUCUGAGAGGGGUCACCGUCGGCGCCGACAAGGUGCUGAGGUCCAUCACGGUGGAGAAGGCCAAGAUCCUCAACAUCUUUAUCGGGCUCGCGGCGCAGAUGCUCCGCUUCAUGGAGCCCGGGGAGCUCCGGGGGAGCCUCGCCGCAGCGGGCGUGGUGGACACGGUGCUGGCGAGGUCGCUGGUGCAGGUGCUGCGGGAGUACAGCCGCCCGUCCAUGGACGUGCCCCGGGCCCGACGGUACACCAUAGAGCUUGCCAUGGCAUUGAUGCAGUCGGACGCACGCUACGUGGUCCUGUUCGUGGAGCUCGGCAUGGAGAGCGAGCUGAGGCGCGUGGCCAUGACCACCUCACAGCUGGAGUGCUUCAACGUCUUCUCCGGCAGCGUCGGGCUCAGCCGCAGAGACACCAGCGUCUGUUCCCUCGUCCAGUCGGCGUUGGAGCAGAUGAACAAGGGCUGGAAUUAA